AUACGUAGGGGGCGAGCGUUGUCCGGAAUGAUUGGGCGUAAAGGGCGCGUAGGCGGCCCGGUAAGUCUGGAGUGAAAGUCCUGUUUUUAAGAUGGGAAUUGUUUUGGAUACUGUCGGGCUUGAGUGCAGGAGAGGUAAGUGGAAUUCCCAGUGUAGCGGUGAAAUGCGUAGAGAUUGGGAGGAACACCAGUGGCGAAGGCGACUUACUGGACUGUAACUGACGCUGAGGCGCGAAAGUGUGGGGAGCAAACAGGAUUAGAUACCCUGGUAGUCCACACUGUAAACGAUGAAUACUAGGUGUGCGGGGACUGACCCCCUGCGUGCCGGCGUUAACACAAUAAGUAUUCCACCUGGGGAGUACGAUCGCAAGGUUGAAACUCAAAGGAAUUGACGGGG
rnacentral:rRNA from 1 species